GGACUUAACGAGGAACUAAGAUUUUCAUCCUCCAUCCAAAUAAAUAAAUAAAUAAAUAAUCUAUAGGUCCUUUGUUGCACCCAAAAUUAUUUUUAAGUUCCUGAACUUUUCAGAUGGAAUAAAAAAGUUUUUGGACUAAUCCAAAAUUAUUUUUAGAUCCCUGCCAUCAUCUGCUGCCGUUUAACUCCAUUUAAAUGAUCAAAUUGCCCUUAGAUGGUUAUGAUUAUACAGAUCCAUAUUCAGGUUACAUAGAUUUAUGCUCAAGUUACACAGGUUUAUAUUCAAGUUACACAAGUAUCUAUGUAAUAUGAACAUAAACAUGUGUAAUUUGAGCAUAAAUCUGUACAAUCUAAGCAUAGACUGAUAUAAUCAAUUGUC
rnacentral:lncRNA from 1 species